UACGUAGGGGGCAAGCGUUGUCCGGAUUUAUUGGGCGUAAAGCGCUCGCAGGUGGUCCGUUGCGUCGUGCGUGAAAGACCCCGGCUCAACUGGGGGAUGUCGUGCGAUACGGGCGGACUGGAGGCCAGUAGGGGGAUGCGGAAUUCCGGGUGUAGUGGUGGAAUGCGUAGAGAUCCGGAGGAACACCAGCGGCGAAGGCGGCAUCCUGGACUGGUCCUGACA
rnacentral:rRNA from 1 species